rnacentral:lncRNA from 1 species
AAGUUAUACUUAAUUAUUUUGUAAUUUAUUUUUAUUUCAUUGUAAGGAUCUACUGUUCAAUAAAAUUAUAAAGAAAUUGCAGCAUGUGCAGUGAGAAAGUACGACGAAAAGAAUACUUUGUUUGUUUGUGUUUUUGUACAUAGUAUCAUGUUCUGCAUAUAUUACCACAAAUCGAUUAUGAUAUAUUUUCAGCGAUCCUACUAAAAAAAUGGAUAAGCAUAUCAUAUAUGCUUUUGCUCCCCACUCUGUUUUACGUAUUAGCAUUAGAUGGGCAUCAACACUAAACUGGCCUUAAACAAACUUUGCAAAUCACAGAGCAAUGGCCGAUGGAGUGCAGAUUAUAACUGUAUUAUCUUCUGUUUAAUUUAACAGUAGGUUCUUAUGGUAAAACAAAAUUAAAAUAAUAGAACAUUUAUUAAGUGCAACUUUUUGAACCAUAGGAUGGCAAAAUAAAAAUACGCUAAAAUAAGAAGGGGCAAAUUAUAG